GCAAACAUGAUGAGGCAGAUGAACACACAGUCACAUAUUUUCAAUAGAUUCUGAUAUUAGAGAACCACAGAACAUUCCUUAGCACAUAUAUAAAAUCAUAGGAAAGGCGAAUACAAACAGAACAGAAUAGCAAAACGAAGCCAAUAUCACCUCACAAAUCCCAACUAUCACUUUAAACUUCAGCACGUUUUAUAGUUCAAUCAGGGAUCGAUUUACAACAAGAAUUAAAAGGAAGAAAAGAAUGAACAUGGAUUUAAGAAACUGAGGUAGUACGAUACUGAAAUUGACCAAAAGGAAAUAAAUAACUGCUGAAAAUCAACCCUCAAGGAGCAACAACCUCGAACUUCUCAAAUGACUCCCAUUUUAAAACCACAAUCCCGAAUCGAAAUACAAAAGAUGAACACUAGAGGUUUCAAAAAAAACAUUAAAUACUAAUCGACGUGAAAUAAAAUCAGCACCCUGAGUGAUUUUUGUAUCAUUCUAUUAUCAGAAAUCAAAGAACCAUUAAGACUGAAAAAGAAAAAGAAAACAUUGUUCAAAAUCGUUUCCGAAAACUCUCUCCCAAAUUCUCUCUGAAAAUCUUCUCUCUCCAAAAAUCCCCCUCUCUCAAAAGCUGAUCCUAAUCCUUUAUGAAAUGAAUCUCUGAUGAAUAUGGGGCUCGGAUUGAACAAAAUCAAUCCAAUGGCUCACAUUCAUCCAACGAAUCGUAUAUAGGACCUUCUAAUCUCGUGAGAUGGUCAAAAUUGGGCGAGUGAGAGGAGUGACAAUCUUUGGUGUCAGAGACCAUUAAAAAUAGUGAGUUGAGAGGAGGGGGAACGCGUGGUUGUGGGUUUGGAUUCACUCGCUUGAAUUUGGGUAAUCUUUGUAUGUUCAGUAGGUUUGGAGAAGAAGAACAUUGGCUGCUUCUUUGGGAGAUUAGGAUUUAGGCUGCCCGUUCGUUUCAUGUUUGUCAAUUGAGAACGAGUCGAGUUGGGGCUAGUUGGGGCGUGGCUUAGGCGGAUAGGGGCUGAAUUGGGCUAG
rnacentral:lncRNA from 1 species